rnacentral:rRNA from 1 species
CGGCGUGCCUAAUACAUGCAAGUCGAACGCGCAGCGAGAGGUGCUUGCACCUUUCAAGCGAGUGGCGAACGGGGUGAGUAACACGUGGAUAACCUGCCUCAAGGCUGGGGAUAACAUUUGGAAACAGAUGCUAAUACCGAAUAAAACUUAGUAUCGCAUGAUAUCAAGUUAAAAGGCGCUACGGCGUCACCUAGAGAUGGAUCCGCGGUGCAUUAGUUAGUUGGUGGGGUAAAGGCUUACCAAGACGAUGAUGCAUAGCCGAGUUGAGAGACUGAUCGGCCACAUUGGGACUGAGACACGGCCCAAACUCCUACGGGAGGCUGCAGUAGGGAAUCUUCCACAAUGGGCGCAAGCCUGAUGGAGCAACGCCGCGUGUGUGAUGAAGGCUUUCGGGUCGUAAAGCACUGUUGUAUGGGAAGAAAUGCUAAAAUAGGGAAUGAUUUUAGUUUGACGGUACCAUACCAGAAAGGGACGGCUAAAUACGUG